CUACGGAGGGUGCAAGCGUUACUCGGAAUCACUGGGCGUAAAGCGCGCGCAGGCGGCCAUUUAAGUUGGAUGUGAAAGCCUACGGCUCAACCGUAGAACUGCAUCCAAAACUAUUUGGCUAGAGUGUGGGAGAGGAAGAUGGAAUUAGUUGUGUAGGGGUAAAAUCCGUAGAGAUAACUAGGAAUACCAAAAGCGAAGGCAAUCUUCUGGAACAUUACUGACGCUGAGGCGCGAAAGCGUGGGGAGCAAACAGGAUUAGAAACCCGAGUAGUCC
rnacentral:rRNA from 1 species